CUUUUCGCCUCCAUCUAGGGUUUCUGCUUUCUCCAUCUGCUCACACACAAUUUCAAUUCUCUGCGACCGUGGUAAGGAUAUCAUCUUUAUAUCUCUAAAAAUGUUAGAUUUCAUGUAAUCGCUCUGAUUCAAGGGUUUUUUUUGUCAAUCGAUCUGUUUCAUACUCCUACACAUAAAUGUCUUCUACAUCAAGGUCUGAUGUGUCACUUGAUCAUCGUUAAUACAUCAGAUGAAGAGAAAUAAGAUGCAAAUAUGGUGUUUCUUUUUAUUUCCGGCCAAACACUGGUCUGUGGCGAACGGGAAACAGGCGGCUAGGGUUACAACAACUAUUACUCUGGCGGAAGCCUUUUAACCAUCGCCACUCUUGAUGUGUUUCUGCAAACAACCGUGAUGUUUUCUCAUGGUUACACAACAAGAACUUCCGGCUUGCAAGCCAAUUCUUACCCCGAAAUGGUGACUUCAUAAUUAGAGAUAUGUGCAAUUUAAUUCAACAUCUAACAUUUUGGUAAUUAAACGAACUGAACAUUAGGUCACAAAGAGAAUGAAGCAACCUAUUUAUGUCUACUAUCAGCUCGACAAUUACUAUCAGAAUCAUCGCAGGUAUGUCAAGAGCCGAAGUGAUCAGCAAUUGAGAAACCGUGGCAAUGAGAAUGGAACAAAUACGUGUAAGCCUGAACAAAAGGGACAUUUCAUGGAAGAGUGACAGGGAUGAAAAGUUCGGCAGUGAUGUCUUUCCAAAGAAUUUCCAAAACGGUAGUCUUAUUGGUGGUGGGAGUCUCAAUGAGUCAAUCCCAGUAAGUCUCUCAAGUCUUAAUUGUCACAGAUAGGCCUGUAGACGAACCGAACGAACACAAACAGAGGCAUGUUUGUGUUCAAUUGAUACAUAUAUGUGAUUUAAGUUUUUUGGUCUUAAUGUUUAGUAUAACAAAGUUUUCUAAUCUUUUAAUGUUUAGUGUACCAGAUUUCAACUACUGUUUCAUGCUUUAAUACUUCUUUAUGAGUCUGAAUUCAUGAUUAAAUACCUCUUCAUUGUUUAAAGAAAAAAUUGAUGAUUUUAAUGGCUUUUUUUAACAAACAAGAAAAAUUGUUCUGUUUUUCUUAUUUUUAAUGUUCAGAUUAACAUAUUUCAAAGGCGUUGAAGCUUUAAUGCCUUUUUUCUUUGAUAAUUAUGACUCAAUUAUUGUAAUUAGUGUAUAUUUGUUUAUUAUUGAAAGAAAAUCUGAUGAUUUAAAUGUCUAAUCUUUUUGAAAAACAUGAAAAAAUGAAUGUUCUGAUGGAGACCAAAGGUGGGAAGAAGUCUAGCAGUAGUAAAUCGUUUUACGAAGCUCCUUUAGGUUACAGCAUUCAAGACGUUCGACCAAACGGAGGAAUCAAGAAGUUCAGAUCGGCUGCUUACUCCAACUGUGUUCGCAAACCAUCCUGAUAUUCUUUUGUUUAGUGCCCCUUUCACGUCUGUUUGACGUCGUUUAUUUACCGUUUUUAUAAUUUGUUUCGUUGUUAAUAUCGGUUCCCUAUAUUCUUCCUUUUCUUCACUCCUUGACCCGUUUACUGUUUCCUCCAUUGUUGGUGUUAAUUUCUGUUUAAAACCAUGUCUGCAAUUCGUUUCGAAGGCUACGAAAAAAGGCUUGAAGUUACGUUUUUCGAGCCCAGUAUCUUUUCUAACCCUGAAGGUCAAGGUCUCUGGGCUUUAACCAAGGCCCAACUGGAUGAGAUCUUGAACCCUGCUGAAUGCACAAUUGUCUCUUCGUUGUCGAAUGAGCAUGUAGACUCUUAUGUUCUAUCCGAGUCGAGUCUAUUUGUGUUCCCUUACAAAAUCGUUAUCAAAACUUGUGGAACCACUAAACUGCUGCUAUCGAUACCGGCUAUUCUGAAGCUGGCGGAAUCUAUUUCGCUUAUUGUCCGGUCAGUAAGACACACACGCGGUUGCUUUAUCUUUCCCAGUGCUCAAUCGUACCCUCAUCGCAGCUUCACCAAAGAAGUUACAGUGCUGGAUGGUCAUUUUGAGAAGCUUGGUUUAGCCAGCAAGGAGUGAUGUAAUUUCAGUUGUUUAGGUUCAUAAUUUGUUGGACAUUCUCCAUGCUGGGCCAGGGGAUAGAUUUAUAAGCAUUCUUCCUACUUGGCAUGCAUAUGAACGUGCAUGUGAGUAUUUUAUACUUUCUUUGGGUGUCGAGCAAGGAUACACAACGGGUAAACACCUGAAGGGAUUUUAAUAUUACAGUGAGAAUACUUUAGAUAGAUAUAAUGGAAAAUAUAUUACCAUGCUACUUUCAUAUGAUCCUGAAAUAGAGCCAAGAUGAGGAUAUUACAAGGGAUUUUAAUCAUCGUAUGUUGACUCUGGUAUAUUUGGCUAUGUAAGAUUUUAAUGUUGACAUGUGAACAUAUUUGGUUGAAGGUUCUUGGGAUAGAAAGGCUAAAGAUCGAGCUUCAAGAAAGGGGAUUAAAGUGUUGUGUUACUUUGAAAGAACGUGCAACUAGGCUUCCAUUGGAGAUGAUACCAAAAAAGUUGCUAGGUAAGAAGUGUGAUUCAACAAGCUAUUACUUGGUUUUGGAAUAAUAUGUUGGAAGUUUUUUUUUUUUUUUGUCCUUUUUUAUAUUGUUCAUAAAUUUUAUGUAAUAAAGGUCCUAAAUAUAUUUAUAUUCCAUCCACCUCUUGCA